AAGGAAUGGGCGCAGUUAAAGGCCCACUAUGCAACUUCGGGCAUUUCUUCGCUGUUUUCUUGGUUUUGGCACGCACAUUUCUCUACACAGCGCCCCCUACAGCUUCGUAGUAGAUAUUUUACAACACUGUCGUAACAACUCGUUGACGACCCUUCCCCAUGCACUUCUGCGCGAGCCAUGUGCAUUUGUUUUCAAAGAAGCCGGCGAAUGCGUGGAGCCAUGUCCGAAGUAGAUGUUCAUAAAGUGUAGGCAAGGUUAUACAUUUUUAAAAUGGUGUAUUUGUAUUGCAAUAAACAUAAAUCCAUCCUUUUUUAUAGUUGACGGGGAGAAUUUAUAUCCUAGAUUAUAAUUGUUUUAUCUUAGGUUGAACAGAACAAUCAGUGUAAGAGUGUUGGCCAACAUAAUAAUCUAAAUAAACAAGAACCUGGAUUCGGGGAUUCAGUCUGUGUCUGGGGGACGAGACAGAUGAACAGCAAAACACCCAUGGAAACAAAGGUGUUUAUAUGAUUGCAACCAAGCAAGCUAGAAACAUACAGGGCUCACAACAAAACGGUCGAGAAAACAAUUUUUACAGGGCUCACAACAAAAUGGUUGAGCAAACACAUUUGUACAGAGACUAUCAACAUCAAGAAUACCACGAAGAUAAAGUUCACCCAAGGGUACUUUCAAUUUCAAAAUCUUCUUUUUCUUUCAGUUCACGCUAUUCCUGAAAAGCUUGCCCAACGUUUACUCGUGUCUGGCCUCUCUGUCGGUCAGUCUCCCUUUUCUCUUCUUCUGUUCCUCCGACAUUGGGUUUCUCUGUCUCUUUUUAGUCGGCUGAUCUAUGAUGAAUGUAACAAUCCCCUAGUUACUUGUGUUUAUAUCGAGCCGGUUCCGUGUUUGGGUGCCGUAAAGCAAUUCGUUACUUCGCGAGACCCGAGACUCCCGCAAGAGUGGGCGGCGGGUCGCCGGCAGAAACAUAUUCCUUUUCUCCGCCAAGAUGUGCAAGGGGGAGUCGAAACAACGAACAAUCGAACAAAAAUGUAUAAUAGAACCAUCGCAAUGACUCUUAGCCUGUUAUAUUAAGGUAAAUCAAGCCAAAAAAGUUGCAUAGUUCCCCUUUCACUCGUGUCUGAUCUCUUUUCUGGUCCAUUCUUCUUUUGUUCCACCGACAGUCGCCUCUUGGGUCCCUUAUCAGUCGAUUGAUCCAUGAUGAAUGCAACAAUUGCCUCGCAACUGGCUGUUUAUAUCUAGCCGGUGCCAUGUUUGGGUGUGUGUCUGUGCCGUAAAGCAUUUUCGAAACUACAAUCUGAUUACAUUUUCGAGGCGUGAUUGGAUACUUCCGCUGCGUCACAUCCGGAUUGUGUCGGUCCGAACAGAGCAAGUUGCAUAUGCGCUUUUUCCUUGGAGAGGUGACAUGGGGCAAUGACACACCCACCAAACGACCCAGAAAUGGUUGCAGAACCAUCAGAAUAACUCUCAACCAGCAUAAUUAAU